GAUGAACGCUGGCGGCGUGCCUAAUACAUGCAAGUCGAGCGAACAGACGAGGAGCUUGCUCCUCUGACGUUAGCGGCGGACGGGUGAGUAACACGUGGAUAACCUACCUAUAAGACUGGGAUAACUUCGGGAAACCGGAGCUAAUACCGGAUAAUAUAUUGAACCGCAUGGUUCAAUAGUGAAAGACGGUUUUGCUGUCACUUAUAGAUGGAUCCGCGCCGCAUUAGCUAGUUGGUAAGGUAACAGCUUACCAAGGCAACGAUGCGUAGCCGACCUGAGAGGGUGAUCGGCCACACUGGAACUGAGACACGGUCCAGACUCCUACGGGAGGCAGCAAUAGGGAAUCUUCCGCAAUGGGCGAAAGCCUGACGGAGCAACGCCGCGUGAGUGAUGAAGGUCUUCGGAUCGUAAAACUCUGUUAUUAGGGAAGAACAAAUGUGUAAGUAACUAUGCACGUCUUGACGGUACCUAAUCAGAAAGCCACGGCUAACUACGUG
rnacentral:rRNA from 1 species